rnacentral:rRNA from 1 species
CAGUAGCCGCGGGAAUACGGAGGAUCCAAGCGUUAUCCGGAAUCAUUGGGUUUAAAGGGUCCGUAGGCGGUCUUGUAAGUCAGUGGUGAAAGCCCAUCGCUCAACGGUGGAACGGCCAUUGAUACUGCAGGACUUGAAUUAUUGGGAAGUAACUAGAAUAUGUAGUGUAGCGGUGAAAUGCUUAGAGAUUACAUGGAAUACCAAUUGCGAAGGCAGGUUACUACCAAUUGAUUGACGCUGAUGGACGAAAGCGUGGGUAGCGAACAGGAUUAGAUACCCCUGUAGUUCCUGUCUCUUAUAA